rnacentral:rRNA from 1 species
AACGCGAAGAACCUUACCUGGGUUUGACAUGCUUUUGACAUCUGUAGAAAUACAGCCUUCUGGGCUUCGGUUCAGACAAUUGCACAGGUGCUGCAUGGCUGUCGUCAGCUCGUGUCGUGAGACGUUAGGUUAAGUCCUCUAACGAGCGCAACCCCUAUUGCCAGUUGCUACUACCUUCGGGUAGGCACUCUGGUGAGACUGCCUGUGAAAGCAGGAGGAAGGUGGGGAUGACGUCAAGUCAUCAUGGUCCUUAUACCCAGGGCUACACACGUGUUACAAUGGCCGAUACAAAAAGUUGCAAUACCGUAAGGUGGAGCUAAUCUUAUAAAGUCGGUCUAAGUUCGGAUUGAGGUCUGCAACUCGACCUCAUGAAGUUGAAAUCGCUAGUAAUCGCGUAUCAGAUACGACGCGGUGAAUACGUUCCCGGGCCUUGUACACACCGAGUAUA